GCUAAAUAUUUCAUUAGUAUUUGUUGAAAUCGAAUUCUGAAACCAUGUCGGUCACUCCACUAACUCAAUUUAUUCGGGCAUCCGAUAAUGUUGUUAAAUUUGCUGCUGCUUUUAAAUUGAUUAAGGCAGAAACUCACACGGUUUUCAAUUUAGAAAUUCGAAACACCGAACUUCAGGACUUGUGGUACAAAGUGAAGGAUACUUAUGAAAAGUAUCUUGAUUAUUUGAUAACCAUUGAGGGUACUACCUCAGACGGAAUUGCUUCUGCUGAUGAAAAAUAUCAGUCCACCAGAGAAAACUACGUUGAAUGUUUGUCGGAAAUAACUGAAAUGUUGCAGAAACUAAGGUCUGUGAAAACACCUCCUUCUAAACCAUCUGAAAUUUGUGUUAGUACCCCCCAGAAUGUCCAAAAUCAGGUUUCUGUGGCGCGGUCAUGCAAUAGGUCGAAUACUUCACAGUCAGGUGUAGUACCAAUCCAAACCAUGUACAGAAUAAUAGUUUGCCGCCUUUAUCCAAUAUGGCUUAUCCAGAUAUUCAGAGUACUUCUGAUAUCUCAGUUUCGAAUUGGAGUUUACCGCCUUGUGGUUCCGACACCAUGCAUAAUCUUAAUUUACCGCCGUGUGAUAUAGAUGAUUUCCACGGAGAUUUUUUGUCGUGGCCCACGUUCCGGGAUUUAUUUUCUGCAAUGUUUAUAAAUAAUUCCCGAUUAACUGAUAUUGAGAGGUUGUGUCAUUUGAUUAAGAAAACUCAAGGUGAGGCUAGGGAAAUUGUGUCGAAGUUUCCACUCACGCAUAAAAGUUUUGUUCUGGCUUGGAAAGCUCUUAGGGAUGCUUAUGACAACAAAAGAAUUCUAGUCAAUAGUCAUUUAAAAAUUCUGUUCGAUCUUCCAUCGUUAGCUAAUGAAACGAGUUCAGGUCUUAAAACUUUACAGAGAGGCAUAAACGGUUGUUUAUCUGCUAUGUCAGUCUAUGACAUUGUCUCGGAUCAUUGGGAUCCUAUUUUAGUUUUUAUUUGUAUUCAGCGUCUGCCAAAACUUACGGUGACACUCUGGGAACAGAGUCUCACAGAUAAGUCUUCCUUAUCGUCAUGGGCUCAGCUCAAUUCGUUCCUUACGGAGAGAAUUCAGACGCUUGCCUGUUUGCGGGACAUAAAAGGUAUAGAUUCAUCAAAAUCCCCAAACCAACGCAACGUUAAGGCACAUUUGGCGAAAACUCCCCCUGAUACAGUAAAAUCUUAUUCAAAACAUCGUUGUGUUGUAUGCCCUAAUGGAAAUCAUGCACUCUACUCUGGUCAUCGUUUCAAAAAGAUGUCUUUCGAUCAAAAAAUUGCUGUUGUAAAAAAGUAUGGCUUUUGUUUCAAUUGUUUGUCAAGAGGUCGUUCUGUUAGUAAUUGUCCCAGUGCACAUAGCUGCUAUGUAUGAUGUAUGAAAAACAUCAUACCCUCAUGCAUAAACCCAAUCGAUCGGCACCUACAAAUAGCUCCUCCUCAAAUGUGACGCCCACAGUUCGAGUCCCAAGAACUGCUUCCAAUUCUAAUCUAGAUAAUGUUGCCUCUACAUCCACUGGUGCUAAUCCAACUGUAGUGAACCGUCAAGUGUUUCAUACAUCGCAUAAUUCGCUAGUCCUUCUCAGUACCGCCAUGGUAAAUAUUGUUCACGAAGGAAAUUCUUAUCCUGUUCGAGCCCUCAUUGACCCUGCGUCUGAGGCUAGUUUUAUAACUGAGAACCUUCAAAAUAGAUUGAAGUUGUCGUCUCGAUCCACUCUUGCAACCAUUUCUGGUGUAAAUGGUUCGUCUUCCGUUACCUCUAGGAAAUUUGUAUAAGUUCUCGCUUAAGUGGAUCCUCUCGGGUCCAAUUCCCUCCUCACCAUUGCAGGUCUUUACGACCACUUUGAGCUUCAGUGAGGAAGACAGCCUCAAUAAAACCAUUCUGCGUUUUAGGGAACUUGAGGAUGUUCCCAAACGCAAAUUACUUUCGUCAUCAGACAAGUUCUGCGAGGACAAUUUCCGGUCCACAACUACGAGAAACUCGAAGUGUCGUUACGUUGUCCCACUUCCCAUACGUUCUGAAUUUCCUCACAGCCUGAAAAUUGGUGGUUCGCCUCAGAAUGUUAUGAAUCCAUUUUUAUCGAAUGAAAAUUUGCUUCAACGCAAAUUUUCUUAUAGGUGCCCCCCUUCCUGCUCUACCAGAACCCCUUGUUGAAGAAUCGCCAUUGAGUUUGGUCAAUCGGUAUAAAAAACGUAAGGCAUUGACGCAUCAGUUUUCCAUUAGGUUUAAGGAAAGAGUUUGUUUAGCUAUUCGAGACGCAUCCUGGUAAUGAUAGUAAGGUUCGCGUUGUAGACGUCCGAACUACUUAGGGUAUUGUUCGGCGACCAGUCGUCAAGUCAGUCGUGUUACAUAAUUAAGUAUGUUGUUUGCGAAACAUACCUCGUUUGGUUGGGUAGUUUCGGGCCCCGUCAACAUGUAAUUAACUGUCAUUAGUUUAAAAAAAAAUGAAUUGAAUUGAAUUUAAUGAAAUGAAAUUUGCUCACAUAUAAACUGAACUUACGUCCUUGUAAAUAUUAUUGUACAUAUUUAUAUAUAACAUAAUUCCUUUGAGCUUUAUUUAGUUGAUACACAUGCAUGUAUAUCAAGGUGGGCGGCAAUGUAUAAGUUAGAUACUUUGCCCCUCAACUUCCCUUGCUCGAUCAAUCACGGAUGCUGAUUGGCGCACAGGCAUCUCCCGUGGCGGAGACCGUAGUGAGCGGAUCGUCGCUGGGCAUUGGUUGUUGUCGGUAACCUCACCUUGUUACACAUGCUCUCAUUGGAAGUAGUUGUAGUUGUAUUAGUAGACAGACAUGGGAUCCUCUGCGAUCACCUAGAACCUCUGCGUUCACUUGUCUUUAGUCUUUGAACGAAUACCCAUCACGGCCACUGUCGCCAACACACCAUAUUGAAAAGAGAUGGUCAGAUAAUGAUGAAAGCGAUGAGCACGAGGGAAACAUGAAUCACCUUGGUCCAAAAUUGUUAUCUACUCAAUGUGAAGUAACAUGGAAAGAAAGUAGUGAUUGGGAUGACAGUGAUGAUGAGCCCCUUGAGAAAUACAUGCGAGUUUCCGACGUGUCAAACAGACAGAGAAAUACGAAUAGUUGGCGCAAAGUUGAACCAUCCUACGAAAUAAAUACAGAAUGUACUAUGAUUCCACCAGGUGCUGAAGUUCAGUUAUGUAAAACUCCGACUGAUUUUUUUGAAUUAUUUUUCAACGAGGAUAUAAUUAAAAAUUUUGUGGAGCAAACAAACUUGUAUGGGCUUCAAAAGAAUGUUGAUUUACAAGUAACAUUGGAAGAGAUCAAAGUAUUUCUAGGAGGCAUGCUAAUGCCUGGAUACGCUAGGUAUCCAACAAAAGAAUGUUUUGGUCAAACUUCUCCAAAAUAGCAUGAGGAUGAAUAUGUUUGAACAAAUACUUAAAAACUUUCAUUUGAAUAAUAACCUUAAUAUCGAUGAAGCGGAUCGCCUUUACAAAAUUAGGCCACUAAUAUACCAUUUUAAUGCAUCAUAUCUACGACACGGUGGGAUUGAAGAAAAUAGAUGAAAGUAUGAUCCCAUAUUAUGGCAAGCAUUAUGCCAAGCAAUAUAUUCGUGGAAAACCCAUCCGAUUUGGUUUUAAAAAUUGGGCGUUAAUUUCUGCUAACGGUUGUAUGGGACAAUUUGAUAUAUAUAUGGGGAAAACGGCAGAGUGUACUCCCAAAGGAUUUGGUGUAGGUGGCGAUAAGGUCCUUGACCUCCUCUCAAAAGCUAACGUCCAUCUAAUAAAGGAUUCAAGGUAUUCAUAGACAACUAUUUCACAUCCGUAAAAUUACUGCGACACUUGUCUUCCAUCGGAAUAUGUACCUCGGGAACCAUACGGAAAGGUCGAACAGAAAAAUGUCCCCUUCGCUCAAUCCCGGCAAUGAAAAAAAAAAAGAUAGAGGUUCAUUAGAUCAUCGAUUUACAGUAAUGAAGUGGGAACAUGCAAACGCUUCGUUAAAAGGGCGGGGUUCUUUAAGUAUUCCUCAACCAAAAUUGUUUCAUCGAUAUAAUGUGGACAUGGGAGGAGUGGAUAAAAUGGACCAACUAGUUGCAGUCUACCGCUCUAGAAUCAGGAAAAAAAUGGUGGUGGCCCAUAUUUGCAUAUUUGCUUGAUGCGUCAGUAGUGAAUGCAUGGCUGUUAAUGAAGAAGUUACAUCCCAAUGAUCCGGCAUAUUCAACUCUUCUAAAUUUUCGCCGUUAUAUUGCAACAUCAUAUCUGGAAUCGUAUGAUACCCCAGCAUCAAGAGGUUUGCGCAAUAGCAAUGUCACUGCAGAUACAAGAUAUGAUGGCAGAAACCACAUUAUUGAAUAUUCAAAAACAGAUAAACGGUGUGGAUUAUGCGGCAAAAAGUCUAACUUUAUUUGUAAGAAGUGUGACAAAGAUCUCCACCCUAAAAAUUGCUUUAAGGAAUAUCAUAAGCCAAGUGUACCCAAUGCGCAGCGUCCCUUAUAAGGGACGGUCCAUAACUCCAAAACCAUAAGCUUUUUUGAAUAAAUUGUUUUUAAAACAAA